UCUUGUUUCUUCUCUUUUGCGAUUUCAGUCACCAUCACCCCCAACUCUCUCGUUUCUUAAUCGAUUUUGUUGAUUCAAAAAUCUAUUUCACUAGAUUUUGGCUCAAGAAUCCAUCUGUAUCACUCUCACUCUCUUUCUAUUUUUCCGACUUUCUCUUCGUCUCUCUCUCUCUCUCUCUUUGGCGAGUGUCGAUGGAAGAAAUCGGAACAAUUAAAUUCACUCCACCGGCAGCAUCGGUUGAUCAAAUCCGUCGUUAUCAUCAUCUCUGUGGUUUUAGGGUUGAUCAAAUUCGACGUUAUCAUCAAAUCCUUAUGUUGAUCAAAUUCGACGUUAUGAUGCAUCAAUCUGUUUGUAUAUUGGAGCAUCAUGUCAAAACUUGUCAUGGUUCAGUUUCAGUUGUAGUUUAUAGAGAUCAGCGCUGAUCACUUAUCCAGACGUAACACUAAACUAUUUGUCGUGUUUCCAAGGAUUGUUUCUCUGCCCUGAAGCAGUCUCCUUACUGCUCCAUAAUUUCUGCAUUUACCAUCUUAGUCCCCUAGGACAUGAGAGUUUUUGCAGUUUGGAGCUGCUCCAGUUUGUUCCAAUGAUCUGUAGCCUUCUGUUGAAGACCUCGCAGACCAGAUUCUUGAGUAUUUAACUUUUUUAGCCUCGAUGCAGUAAUGUGCAUGGGGAUCACUGCUGGUGCCUACAUCCAUUCCUUGUUUGAUGUAUGUACUCAUUGAGACUUUUUGAGGAUUUAUUUGUAGCUAUAUUCUCAGAACUUCAUACAAUAUCUCAUUACUUAAUUUUUUAUUUUAUUUUUAAUGACCCCAA